rnacentral:rRNA from 1 species
CCUUGAUAUUCACGAAUCGAAUCAAAGUUUCUGCUUCACGCUAUAUCAAGUGCCAACACAUACAGGAACUGAGUACUGAAUGUUGAAUGCCGGAUAGCGGCGGACGGGUGAGUAACGCGUGGGCAACCUGCCUCAUACUGGGGGAUAACACAGGGAAACUUGUGCUAAUACCACAUAAUAUCAUUAUAGGGCAUCCUGUGAUGAUCAAAGGAGCAAUCCGGUGUGAGAUGGGCCCGCGUCCAAUUAGCUAGUUGGUGGGGUAACGGCCCACCAAGGCGACGAUUGGUAGCCGAACUGAGAGGUUGAUCGGCCACAUUGGGACUGAGACACGGCCCAGACUCCUACGGGAGGCAGCAGUGGGGAAUAUUGCGCAAUGGGGGAAACCCUGACGCAGCAACGCCGCGUGAAGGAUGAAGGUCUUCGGAUUGUAAACUUCUUUGAUGAGGGACGAACACAAUGACGGUACCUCAAAAACAAGCCACGGCUAACUACGUG